rnacentral:rRNA from 1 species
AUUGAACGCUGGCGACAUGCCUUACACAUGCAAGUCGAACGGCAGCACGGGUGCUUGCACCUGGUGGCGAGUGGCGAACGGGUGAGUAAUACAUCGGAACAUGUCCUGUAGUGGGGGAUAGCCCGGCGAAAGCCGGAUUAAUACAGCAUACGAUCUACGGAUGAAAGCGGGGGACCUUCGGGCCUCGCGCUAUAGGGUUGGCCGAUGGCUGAUUAGCUAGUUGGUGGGGUAAAGGCCUACCAAGGCGACGAUCAGUCGCUGGUCUGAGAGGACGACCAGCCACACUGGGACUGAGACACGGCCCAGACUCCUACGGGAGGCAGCAGUGGGGAAUUUUGGACAAUGGGCGAAAGCCUGAUCCAGCAAUGCCGCGUGUGUGAAGAAGGCCUUCGGGUUGUAAAGCACUUUUGUCCGGAAAGAAAUCCUUGGCCCUAAUACGGUCGGGGGAUGACGGUACCGGAAGAAUAAGCACCGGCUAACUACGUG